UGCCCAGGCGCGAAAACUUUACAAUGCGGGAAACCGUGAUAAGGGAACUCCGAGUGCCCGUAAAAUCGGGCUGUCCAUCUGUUUAAAUAACAGGUGAAGAAGGGGCCGGGCAAGACCGGUGCCAGCCGCCGCGGUAAUACCGGCGGCUCGAGUGGUGGCCACUAUUACUGGGCUUAAAGCGUUCGUAGCUGGUCUGUUAAGUCUCUGGGGAAAUCUACUGGCUUAACCAAUAGGCGUUUCAGGGAUACUGGCAGACUAGGGACCGGGAGAGGUGAGGGGUACUCCAGGGGUAGGAGUGAAAUCCUGUAAUCCUUGGGGGACCACCUGUGGCGAAGGCGCCUCACCAGAACGGCUCCGACAGUGAGGGACGAAAGCUGGGGGAGCAAACCGGAUUAGAUACCCGGGUAGUCCCAGCCGUAAACGAUGCGCGUUAGGUGUAUCGGUGACCACGAGUCACCGAGGUGCCGAAGAGAAAUCGUGAAACGUGCCGCCUGGGAAGUACGGUCGCAAGGCUGAAACUUAAAGGAAUUGGCGGGGGAGCAC
rnacentral:rRNA from 1 species